AGAGUUUGAUCCUGGCUCAGGAUGAACGCUAGCUACAGGCUUAACACAUGCAAGUCGAGGGGAAACGACAUCGAAAGCUUUGCUUUUGAUGGGCGUCGACCGGCGCACGGGUGAGUAACGCGUAUCCAACCUGCCCAUCACUUGGGGAUAACCUUGCGAAAGUAAGACUAAUACCCAAUGACGUCUCUAGAAGACAUCUGAAAGAGAUUAAAGAUUUAUCGGUGAUGGAUGGGGAUGCGUCUGAUUAGCUUGUUGGCGGGGUAACGGCCACCAAGGCGACGAUCAGUAGGGGUUCUGAGAGGAAGGUCCCCCANAUUGGAACUGAGACACGGUCCAAACUCCUACGGGAGGCA
rnacentral:rRNA from 1 species